CACGUAGGGGACGAGCGUUGUCCGGAUUCAUUGGGCGUAAAGCGCGUGUAGGCGGCUUGGUAAGUCUGCUCUGAAAGCCCGGGGCUCAACCCCGGAACUGCGUCCGAUACUGCGUGGCUAGAGGUAGGUAGGGGAGAUCGGAAUUCCUGGUGUAGCGGUGGAAAUGACGCAGAGUAUCAGGAGGAACACCAAUGGCGAAGGCAGCACUCUGGGACGUGACUGACGCUGAGACGCGAAAGCGUGGGGAGCAAACAGG
rnacentral:rRNA from 1 species